GUGGGGAAUUUUGGACAAUGGGCGCAAGCCUGAUCCAGCAAUGCCGCGUGCAGGAAGAAGGCCUUCGGGUUGUAAACUGCUUUUGUACGGAACGAAACGGUCCGGGUUAAUACCCUGGGCUAAUGACGGUACCGUAAGAAUAAGCACCGGCUAACUACGUGCCAGCAGCCGCGGUAAUACGUAGGGUGCAAGCGUUAAUCGGAAUUACUGGGCGUAAAGCGUGCGCAGGCGGUUUUGUAAGACAGGCGUGAAAUCCCCGGGCUCAACCUGGGAAUUGCGCUUGUGACUGCAAGGCUGGAGUGCGGCAGAGGGGGAUGGAAUUCCGCGUGUAGCAGUGAAAUGCGUAGAUAUGCGGAGGAACACCGAUGGCUAAGGCAAUCCCCUGGGCCUGCACUGACGCUCAUGCACGAAAGCGUGGGGAGCAAACAGGAUUAGAUACCCCAGUAGUCC
rnacentral:rRNA from 1 species